ACCUGAUGAUGUGGGCAUUUAUGGAGCAGGUCCCUAAAGUGCUCCAAGUCUCAAAGAAAAGUUCCACAUUCGUCUGUGUGAAACUUGUGAUUGCCCUUCGCAGCU